UCUGAUUAGCGGCGGACGGGUGAGUAAUGCCUAGGAAUCUGCCUGGUAGUGGGGGACAACGUUUCGAAAGGAACGCUAAUACCGCAUACGUCCUACGGGAGAAAGCAGGGGACCUUCGGGCCUUGCGCUAUCAGAUGAGCCUAGGUCGGAUUAGCUAGUUGGUGAGGUAAUGGCUCACCAAGGCGACGAUCCGUAACUGGUCUGAGAGGAUGAUCAGUCACACUGGAACUGAGACACGGUCCAGACUCCUACGGGAGGCAGCAGUGGGGAAUAUUGGACAAUGGGCGAAAGCCUGAUCCAGCCAUGCCGCGUGUGUGAAGAAGGUCUUCGGAUUGUAAAGCACUUUAAGUUGGGAGGAAGGGCAGUAAGUUAAUACCUUGCUGUUUUGACGUUACCGACAGAAUAAGCACCGGCUAACUCUGUGCCAGCAGCCGCGGUAAUACAGAGGGUGCAAGCGUUAAUCGGAAUUACUGGGCGUAAAGCGCGCGUAGGUGGUUCGUUAAGUUGGAUGUGAAAUCCCCGGGCUCAACCUGGGAACUGCAUCCAAAACUGGCGAGCUAGAGUAUGGUAGAGGGUGGUGGAAUUUCCUGUGUAGCGGUGAAAUGCGUAGAUAUAGGAAGGAACACCAGUGGCGAAGGCGACCACCUGGACUGAUACUGACACUGAGGU
rnacentral:rRNA from 1 species